rnacentral:rRNA from 1 species
GAGGAUGCGAGCGUUAUCCGGAUUUAUUGGGUUUAAAGGGUGCGUAGGCGAUCUGUCAAGUCAGCGGUCAAAUCGAGGGGCUCAACCCCUUUCCGCCGUUGAAACUGGCGGGCUUGAGUGGGCGAGAAGUAUGCGGAAUGCGAGGUGUAGCGGUGAAAUGCAUAGAUAUCACGCAGAACUCCGAUUGCGAAGGCAGCAUACCGGCGCCCGACUGACGCUGAGGCACGAAAGCGUGGGGAUCGAA